rnacentral:pre_miRNA from 1 species
UGAUUGUCCAAACGCAAUUCUUGUUGCCAUGACGAUAUACGAGAACUGUGUAUGGACAUCAGU